UACGUAGGGGGCAAGCGUUGUCCGGAUUUAUUGGGCGUAAAGAGCGUGUAGGCGGCCAUACAGGUCCGUUGUGAAAACUGGAGGCUUAACCUCCAGACGUCGAUGGAAACCGUACGGCUAGAGUCCGGAAGAGGAGAGUGGAAUUCCUGGUGUAGCGGUGAAAUGCGCAGAUAUCAGGAAGAACACCCGUGGCGAAGGCGGCUCUCUGAGACGGUACUGACGCUGAGACGCGAAAGCGUGGGGAGCGAACAGG
rnacentral:rRNA from 1 species